GCACAAGCGGAGGAACAUGUGGUUUUAAUUCGAUGAUACGCGAGGAACCUUACCUGGGCUUAAAUGGGGAGUGACAGCUGUCGAAAGAUGGUUUUCUUCGGACACUCUUCAAGGUGCUGCAUGGUUGUCGUCAGCUCGUGCCGUGAGGUGUCGGGUUAAGUCCCAUAACGAGCGCAACCCUUACCGUUAGUUACCAUCAGGUUAAGCUGGGGACUCUAGCGGGACUGCCACCGUAAGGUGAGAGGAAGGUGGGGAUGACGUCAAAUCAGCACGGCCCUUAUGUCCAGGGCUACACACGUGUUACAAUGGCCGGUACAAAGGGCAGCUACUUCGCGAGAAGAUGCUAAUCUCGAAAGCCGGUCUCAGUUCGGAUCGAAGUCUGCAACCCGACUUCGUGAAGCUGGAUUCGCUAGUAAUCGCGCAUCAGCCAUGGCGCGGUGAAUACGUUCCCGGGCCUU
rnacentral:rRNA from 1 species